rnacentral:lncRNA from 1 species
ACAGAGCUAAUGUCCGGUAAUAUUUCGACUGAGCUCCGGUGCAGAUUUUUUGAAUAGCCCUAUUUUUAUAAUUUUAUCUUCUGCUUAUAAUUACUUUUAACAUAAGUUUAGCUGCAACAAACACCUAAACUCGGUUAAUGUUGUUUAUUCAAAAAUCCUAACUAGGGAGAUAAGUGACAUUGCAGAGACUCUAUGGGAGGUUUCUGUAUUUAUUAUAAACCUUCGGGGAGGUCAGUGUAAUUUAUCCUUUAUCCCGCGUUCAACGACCUAGUUUGCUUUUCUGGGCUGUUAGCCCAAAGAAGAGAAAGCCUGAAAAAAGCAGUAAAGCCACAUCCGAACCCAGCUUCUUUUUUUUCAAACAUAGUGCAUUAAGCAAUAAUACAUCUACAACUUAUCAUGUUUUAAACGCUUAAUGAUCAAUUAAGCAAUUGAUUACUAUCAUACAGCUGUAAAGUGCCUCUUCUCUCAUCCUUUUUCUUUCUUUUGUUUGAAUCAAAAUUAUAGUGUUUGUUGACAUUUCCAUUUCCAACAUUGCUAUACAUGUUUUACGACAGAGUGAGAAGGAAAAAAAAACAAUCGAAAUGCGAAAUCGAUCGAACCAGUCCAUAUCGUACUGUGAUUUUUGUUAGCUUAUAAGUUUUUUUUGUCUUUAUCUGUAUAUAAUAGCUAACUUUGAUAGAGAUACGAACCCGUAAAACCGAAAUGUUCACAACGGUUUAGUUCGGUCCAAAAAAAUUUAAAUUGUUAUUUGUGGUUCGAUGUACUAUUUGGCUAUAAACCGGAUCAAACCGAACUAUGAUCACUCUUAUUGACCCGGAAAUGGAUUUAAGAAAGAUAUAGAAAGGGCGAUCACGUCCGAAAAAUUUAAGAAAGCUCUCAUAUUCUAAUAACAAUUUAAGAAUUAAUUUGGAAUUACAAGGGUUGACUCCCAAACUAGGGGUUUGCACCAUCGUUAAUAAUUUUAUAGAAUACAAAAAUGUAGACUAUUAUUAUAUUGUCAUUAUUCAUUCUAUACUAGGAGAAUACACUUUAUUUGUAAAAUAUAAACAUUCAUAUUACACAUUUUUAUUGUUAGAAACUAACAAUAUAACCUAAAUUUAUUUGUCAUAGUUUCUAAACCAAUGCCCACGUAUAUUUCUGCAACUCUAUAUUAGAAUUUAAAUGGUCCGCCAACUUUUGGAUAGUGAAAUUAGUUUCCCAAUUUAAUUAAUCUAAUGACCCGAAUAUCAAGUUAUCAAAAAUUUUCGAUUAAAAUCAGGAAUAUGUCCUUUGUUGACCAAUGUUAUAUAUGGAUUCAAACCACCUUUUAUUUAUAGUUGAUUGUUACAAUGUGGUAGAGCAAACUUAAAUAGUGAACCCUAACAAAAUAGUUCCUCAUAGAUGAGGGCAAUAUUGAUCCACAUUUAUGUUAAAAAAAAAAUAGAGAUAAUACAUUUUGUAUAAUACAUACUCACAUGUGAUGGAGCAUUGAUGUAAGUAUAUAUUAUACCUAAUGUUGCUUUUUUUUCGUUAUAUUGGGAUUAAAAAUUUAAUAGAGAAUAACUAAAAAAUAAAAAAAAAUAAGUUAUAAAUACAAUAUUAAAGUCUGUGAACAAAUUUAAACCCCUGAUAUUAGCAGGCGAAGGCUUAGUUUCGAUAUAUUCUUAUAUUUAAAAUAUGAUAAUGAUAUUUACACUAUACUUUUAUUCUGAUUGUAUUUAUUUAUUUAUUUAUUUUAAUUAGGGUAAAUUUAUCCUAAUAUUUUUUAUAUAAUAAAUAUAUUUAAAUAAAAUUGGGUAUAGUGAAAAUAUAUGCAUUAAUAUUCUAACGUCACCCAUCUUUGUGAAAAAAAGAAACGGACCUUUACAAUAAAUCAAUUUGAAUGCCUUUUCACGAGGAAUAAUAAUAAAGAGCAUAUUCAACCCCUUUCGCCGUAGUCUGAAAUCUCUAACUCGUGGUGAUGAAUCCACACACUUCUUUCUACGCAGAACAAGUAGAAUAGGAGACAUAUGUAUUUUGGCACUAGUAAGAAUUGAUGUGGAAUUAGUCAUGUAUAUGGGUAGGUAUAAAAAAAAAUUAAUCAUAAAAAUAAAUAGCAGAUGCGAAACGAUAGUAUAAAAUCAUUUCAUCAAACUUAUACAUAGUAGAAAAUUAAUUUACAACAAAAUUCAAAAGGUAAUAUUUUUCUCUUAAAAAAAAUAAAUUAGGGUUGGGGAAUAAAUUAAUAAUUCUUUAAGCAAGUUAAUAAAAAAAUAAUACAGAAUAGAUUAAAUUAUUUAGGCGUAAAAUGUAAUGUAUUGCGCGCCACAAAUUUUAUUAUCCCAUAUUAGUACAGUGUACUUGCACCUACAAAUUUACCAUACACCUUUCUUCAUUUGAUUAAUUCACUUAUCUUUCGGUCCUUUCCCAUUAUGCAGUGGUGAGCCUUUCCCUCUUCCCACGAUCUCGUCAAAAUACCGACUACUUUCUAUCCCAAUCGACCACUGUCACUUUCUUGUUCGCAACAGUGCCGGCCAUGGGC